GAAUUGUUGUUUACACGGAGGUCG
rnacentral:siRNA from 1 species